rnacentral:rRNA from 1 species
GACGAACGCUGGCGGCGUGCUUAACACAUGCAAGUCGAACGGAAAGGCCCUGCUUUUGUGGGGUGCUCGAGUGGCGAACGGGUGAGUAACACGUGAGUAACCUGCCCUUGACUUUGGGAUAACUUCAGGAAACUGGGGCUAAUACCGGAUAUGAGCUCCUGCUGCAUGGUGGGGGUUGGAAAGUUUCGGCGGUUGGGGAUGGACUCGCGGCUUAUCAGCUUGUUGGUGGGGUAGUGGCUUACCAAGGCUUUGACGGGUAGCCGGCCUGAGAGGGUGAACGGCCACAUUGGGACGGAGAUACGGCCAAGACGCCUACGGGAGGCAGCAGUGGGGAAUAUUGCACAAUGGGCGGAAGCCUGAUGCAGCAACGCCGCGUGCGGGAUGACGGACUUCGGGUUGUAAACCGCUUGCGCCUGUGACGAAGCGGGAGUGACGGUAAUGGGUAAAGAAGCACCGGCUAACUACGUG